rnacentral:rRNA from 1 species
UACAGAGGCCACGAGCGUUAGGCGGAACCACUGGGCUUAAAGCGUGUGUAGGUGGAUGGGUAAGUACCUUGUGAAAUCCCACAGCUCAACUGUGGAACUGCUUGGUAUACUGCCUGUCUUGAGGCACUCAGGGGCGAGCGGAACAGAUGGUGGAGCGGUGAAAUGCGUAGAUAUCUGGAGGAACACCGGUGGCGAAGGCGGCAUCCUGGACCAUUACUGACACUGAAAAGCGAAAGCCAGGGGAGCAAACGGG